CCUACGGGAGGCAGCAGUGGGGAAUAUUGCACAAUGGGCGCAAGCCUGAUGCAGCGACGCCGCGUGGGGGAUGACGGCCUUCGGGUUGUAAACUCCUUUCGCCAAGGGCGAAGCGUUUUGUGACGGUACUUGGAGAAGAAGCACCGGCUAACUACGUGCCAGCAGCCGCGGUAAUACGUAGGGUGCGAGCGUUGUCCGGAAUUACUGGGCGUAAAGAGCUCGUAGGUGGUUUGUCGCGUCGUUUGUGGAAUACCGCAGCUUAACUGUGGGGUUGCAGGCGAUACGGGCAUAACUUGAGUGCUGUAGGGGAGACUGGAAUUCCUGGUGUAGCGGUGGAAUGCGCAGAUAUCAGGAGGAACACCGAUGGCGAAGGCAGGUCUCUGGGCAGUAACUGACGCUGAGGAGCGAAAGCAUGGGUAGCGAACAGGAUUAGAUACCCUGGUAGUCCAUGCCGUAAACGGUGGGCGCUAGGUGUGAGUCCCUUCCACGGGGUUCGUGCCGUAGCUAACGCAUUAAGCGCCCCGCCUGGGGAGUACGGCCGCAAGGCUAAAACUCAAAGGAAUUGACGGGGGCCCGCACAAGCGGCGGAGCAUGUGGAUUAAUUCGAUGCAACGCGAAGAACCUUACCUGGGCUUGACAUACACCAGAUGGCUGUAGAGAUACAGUGUCCCUUGUGGUUGGUGUACAGGUGGUGCAUGGCUGUCGUCAGCUCGUGUCGUGAGAUGUUGGGUUAAGUCCCGCAACGAGCGCAACCCUUGUCCUUAGUUGCUACGCAAGAGCACUCUAAGGAGACUGCCGGUGACAAACCGGAGGAAGGUGGGGAUGACGUCAAGUCCUCAUGGCCCUUAUGGGUAGGGCUUCACACGUCAUACAAUGGUCGGAACAGAGGGUUGCCAACCCGCGAGGGGGAGCUAAUCCCAGAAAACCGAUCGUAGUCCGGAUUGCACUCUGCAACUCGAGUGCAUGAAGCUGGAAUCGCUAGUAAUCGCGGAUCAGCAUGCCGCGG
rnacentral:rRNA from 1 species